rnacentral:rRNA from 1 species
UACGAAGGAUCCAAGCGUUAUCCGGAUUCAUUGGGUUUAAAGGGUGCGUAGGCGGUUUUGUAAGUCAGUGGUGAAAUCUCCCGGCUCAACCGGGAAGCUGCCAUUGAUACUGCAGAACUAGAGUACAGAUGACGUUGCCGGAAUGUGUCAUGUAGCGGUGAAAUGCAUAGAUAUGACACAGAACACCGAUUGCGAAGGCAGCUGACGAAACUGCGACUGACGCUGAUGCACGAAAGUGCGGGGAUCAAACAGG